ACACACACACACACACACGGCAAACCUGGCUUAGAGGAAGUCCUAGGUAUGGAACCCAGGGUGUUUCACUUGCUCGGCAAGGAGUCUACCAGUGACCUGCAGCCCCCCCAGGCCUUUGCGUACCUUCCUCUUGCCUUGUUUUCUCCUCUCUCUGCAGCAAACCCCUUUACCCAAUGCGUACGUAGACUGGGAUAUAAGUAAGAUACAUGAAGGAAGACUGGGAUAUAAGUAAGAUACAUGAAGGAAAGGAAAGCUACUCUGGUUAACGAGGGCUGGAGGUGCCGAGUCACGGGACCCAAGGACUCUGAGAAACCCUAGCUCGCUGCUCCCGAAUCCAUUUGAACGAAGGUCAAGUGGUGGAUAGCUGAGCCCUAGGAAGGGCAGAGUACGAGGACAACAAGAUCUACUCUCAGCCUUCUGUUCCUGAGGCUCCCCGUCCAUCCCCACCUGACAUAUCUGAUGACUUCUUAAAAACGUCGUUUAUUACAUUUGUUUAGUUAUUUAGUGUCUGUGGGAGCCGUGAACUCAUGUGGAGGACAGAGGACAACUUGAGAGAGCCCAUUCUCUUCUCCCUUCCACUUUGUGAGUCCUGGGAAUCGAACUUAUGCCGUUAACGCUUGAUAGCAAGCAGAUUUACCCAAGGAGCCAACCGGCCCAACGUCUACCAGUUUCUACUCUUUGGCCACGGUGGGACAGAGCCGAAGAAGAGCUAGACAGCACUGGGCCCAAGGCAAUCUUUGAAAACAGUGAGUUAGAAUAAGGAUGUCAGUGAUAGCCAAAGGCAUCAUGGGAUAUCACGGGGUGUCUCUCUUGCUUCACACCCGUGCUCCUGUUGAACUAAACCCUGUGGGCCAUGCCGUUUUUUUUUAUUCGCACCCCAAAGACAAGAGAUCUAAAUCAAUGGCAUGGGAGGGGUAGGGGGUUUCCAGCCUAGCUGAGACCACUCCUGAAAGCAGCGACCAAACCUCCAGGCUGGGAUUUGACAGGCUGGAGCCUGCGAGGGAGUGAAGUUUGCUCCCCUGGCCAAGGAAGCCACUGACAGCAGCUGUUCUCACACUUCCAGCCCCGCAGCAGCCCAGGGAAAGGGCUCCCAGCCUUCUCAGAGGGCAGGUCCCGAGUGUUUAAAAGCUUUCUAUUGAAAAUUCCCAUCUGAGCCAUUCACGGAAAGUAUCUGCUCUAUCUUGGCGGCAGCCCCAGCUGCAUUCACCAGCGAGAAAAGAAUGCUGGACAAAAGAGCUGCCAGCUUCCCAGGAGCAGGAAACAGCCUGGGGUGGGGGGGGGGGGGGACUGGGCUCUCGGCUGGGGGUGGGGUGGGGGAGGCACCAGUGAUCUGAAAGAGACCCUCUGAAAGAGACCCAUGACUAACUCCAGAGUUGCCUUUCUCGCCCUAUAGCACUGAGUUUUGGGGGUGCUACUGUUAUUCUGAACGUGCCCCUUCCCCACUAUCCUGAAAACUGAGUCCUGUUUGUCCCUGCCAUUGUUGAGAAGCCAAGACACAGAGUGGCUACCUUCUAGUCACUAAAGGUCCGAGGUGGGCACAGACCCUACUGUUUGGCUCCAAAGUCGACCUCUUAAUUCUUAGAGAGGCGCCUUUUCUAGGAAUGUGGAAACUGGACAGGGCUGAGCACAGCAGUGUGCCAUGGACAGAGUCCUGACGUCCCAGGCUCUGUGUGUGUCUAACUCUGAGAGUUUCCUUGCUUUCGACAACCAGCCUCGUCAUACGAGGCCGAAGGUGUUAGUAGUGUACAGAGAGGUACGCCUCUCUCGGGAAGAUAAAGAGUGAGUGUUCUCCCUCAUGUGGGCUUCUGAGGUUUUCUUUAGAUGUAGGUUAUAAAAUCGGAUAUGACUUGAGAGAAGAAGCAAAUAUGUCUAGGGGACCAAAGGGGCUCAUGGGGUUGACACAAGGGUGUACAGGCAUGGAUGGGUGUGCCUGCAUGAUGUUAACAUACACAUGCAUGAGGGUCCUCACACGACCCCGGUGCCACCUGUGUGUGAGCCCUAUACACCAAUGAAAAGGCCAUGGAAGAAAGUGUUAGUUUGGAGGCCUGGCUUUUGAUUCUGGAAAGUUCUGUAUUGUGAAGAAGCACUCAAACGUUAAAACAGCAGUGGUGUAUGCAUAUGUGUCAGUGUCCGUCUGUCUGUCUGCUGUAAAGGAGAGUGGUUCAAAAGCCUCAGAUGGGAAACAUCCCAGUCCAGGGUCUCACCCAGUCCAUCUUUACAUUACAGAGG
rnacentral:lncRNA from 1 species